rnacentral:rRNA from 1 species
GCUGGAGUUGCUAGUAAUCGCGAAUCAGCAUGUCGCGGUGAAUACGUUCCCGGGCCUUGUACACACCGCCCGUCACACCAUGAGAGUUGGCAAUACCCAACGUACGUGAUCUAACCCGCAAGGGAGGAAGCGUCCUAAGGUAGGGUCAGCGAUUGGGGUGAAGUCGUAACAAGGUAAC